rnacentral:rRNA from 1 species
GGGGGAAAAUUUAAUUAAAUUAAUUAUAAUAAAAAAAUUUUUAAUAAAAUAUAUUUUAAAAGGGGGGUUAAAGUAUAAUUUUAAGAAAAAAUUUAAAAAUUUAUAGUUGAAUAGUAUUGUAAAAGAAUAAUGAAAUAUUUGAAAAUUUAAUUUUUUUUUAAGUAAAUUUAAUUUGUUGUAUCUGGGGUAUCAGAGUUUAUUUAAAAAUAUAUUUAAUUAAAUGUUUCUCGAAUUUAAAAGAGAUAAUUAAUUAAUAAAGUUAUUGUAAUAUAAAUAUUUUUAAUAAUUAAUUUGAAAUGAAAUGUUAAUCGUUUUUAAAUAUAUCUAGUUUUUUUAGAAAUAAAUUUAAUUUAGAAUUUUUUUAAAAAAUAAUUAAAUAUUUAAUUAUUUUUUAAAAAAAUUUAAUAUUUUAAGGGAUAAUCUUUAAAUUAAAUUUUUAUAAUAAAUUUUAAUUAAUUUAAAAUUUUUAAAAUUUAUAUUGUUUAUAAAUUAUAUGUUUUUAUAAAAAAUUUUAUUAAAAAAAAAAUUUUUUAUAAAAAAAUUUAAUUUUUUAUAAAAAAAUAAUUUAUAAUUAUUUAAAUUUAAUUAUAAUGAUAAAAUUAGUAUAAUAAAUAAUUAAUUUAAUUUAUUUUUUUUUUUAUAAAUAAAAAAAAGGAAUUCGGCAAAUAUAUAUAUUCACUUGUUUAUCAAAAACAUGUCUUUUUGUUUUUAAUUUAAAGUCUAAUCUGCCCACUGAUUUUAUAUUAAAGGGCUGCAGUAUAUUGACUGUACAAAGGGUAGCAUAAUCCAUUAGUCUUUUGAUUGAAGACUUGUAUGAAAGAUUUGAUGAAAUAUAAACUGUCUCUUUUUUAAAAUUAGAAUUUAAUUUUUUAGUAAAAAAGCUAAAAUAAAUUUAAAAGACGAGAAGACCCUAUAGAGUUUAAUUAUAAAAUUUAUUUUAAUUUUAUAUAAAUUUUUUUUUAAUAAAAAUAAAUUUUAUAAUUUUGUUGGGGUGACAAAAAAAUGAAAUGAACUUUUUUUUAAAAAUUAAUAUUAAUUGAUAGUUAAUUGAUCCAUAAUUUAUGAUUAAAAGAAAAAAUUACCUUAGGGAUAACAGCGUAAUUUUUUUUUUUAGUACAAAUAAGAAAAAAAGUUUGCGACCUCGAUGUUGGAUUAAGAUAAAAUUUAAAUGUAGAAGUUUAAAAAUUUUUGAUCUGUUCGAUCAUUAAAAUCUUACAUGAUCUGAGUUCAAACCGGUGUAAGCCAGGUUGGUUUCUAUCUUUAAAAAAUUAAAAUAUUUUAGUACGAAAGGAUUAAAUAUUUAAAAUAAAUUUUAAUUUGAUGAAUAUUAUUAAUAUAAUUUAAAUAU